CUAUGGUUAAGGAACUCGGCAAAAUGCCCCCGUAACUUCGGGAGAAGGGGGGCCGGAAUACCGUGAACACCCUUGCGGUGGGAGCGGGAUUCGGCCGCAGAAACCAGUGGGUAGCGACUGUUUACUAAAAACACAGGUCCGUGCGAAGUCGCAAGACGAUGUAUACGGACUGACGCCUGCCCGGUGCUGGAAGGUUAAGAGGACCCGUUAACCCGUAAGGGUGAAGCGGAGAAUUUAAGCCCCAGUAAACGGCGGUGGUAACUAUAACCAUCCUAAGGUAGCGAAAUUCCUUGUCGGGUAAGUUCCGACCUGCACGAAUGGCGUAACGACUUCCCAACUGUCUCAACCAUAGACUCGGCGAAAUUGCACUACGAGUAAAGAUGCUCGUUACGCGCGGCAGGACGAAAAGACCCCGGGACCUUCACUACAACUUGGUAUUGGUGUUCGGUACGGUUUGUGUAGGAUAGGUGGGAGACUUUGAAGCACAGACGCCAGUUUGUGUGGAGUCGUUGUUGAAAUACCACUCUGAUCGUAUUGGACACCUAACGUCGAACCCUUAUCGGGUUCACGGACAGUGCCUGGCGGGUAGUUUAACUGGGGCGGUUGCCUCCUAAAAUGUAACGGAGGCGCCCAAAGGUUCCCUCAACCUGGACGGCAAUCAGGUGGCGAGUGUAAGUGCACAAGGGAGCUUGACUGCGAGACUUGCAAGUCAAGCAGGGACGAAAGUCGGGACUAGUGAUCCGGCACCCCCGAGUGGAAGGGGUGUCGCUCAACGGAUAAAAGGUACCCCGGGGAUAACAGGCUGAUCUUCCCCAAGAGUCCAUAUCGACGGGAUGGUUUGGCACCUCGAUGUCGGCUCGUCGCAUCCUGGGGCUGGAGCAGGUCCCAAGGGUUGGGCUGUUCGCCCAUUAAAGCGGCACGCGAGCUGGGUUUAGAACGUCGUGAGACAGUUCGGUCUCUAUCCGCCGCGCGCGUCAGAAACUUGAGGAAACCUGUCCCUAGUAC
rnacentral:rRNA from 1 species